UAUCACUUCUAACUGUGUAACGCAAAGCUAAAUUGAACACUAGAGUGUUUUUGCAAUUCCGAUUAUGUAAGACAAAAGACAGCCACAAUGCCUAGUGAUAUCGUUCUAGGCGCAAAAUUUUAUCGACAUUAUGCGACUAAAUAAAAUACACCCUUUCCCGGUACUACUUACUACGGGUGCGGCAUACUUUUGCACAUAUACGCAUUAUACUUGAUUUUGCUGUUUGUCUGUGGUGAAGUGAAGUGCCAUAGUUUCUUUGUUGGUAAACAAAGCCGUAUUAAAAUAUUAAUAAAAAAAUUGGUUUCGUUGGAUCAAAGUACUUGCUACUGCUAGUUUUUUGUUUUCAAUAGAAGUAAUUAAUUAAUCAUUUUAUCGUAUACAUUUUUAUUAGUGUUAAUAGUUAAUUUAUCAAAGUAAACGGCCACUUUUACAUAAAACAUUAUCUACACGAAAGUUCUUCAAAGUUUUAUCGUCUGCCUAUGAUUAAUUUAAUGGUCGUUGUGAUAAUAUGUAAAGUAUAUUGUAUAGUGUUUUGUUUAUUAAAGUUCAUCGCUUGCAACUAAAGAUGUCCGGGAAACUCAAUGAUCGCCUUGGCUUGGAUCAAACUUGGCGAUGGGUUGUUUUGGAGGGCCUUUGGAAAGUCAGGCUACUAAAUAAACCUUCCGUGUUCGCAUCUGCCAGUGGCGUUGUAUCAACAUGAAGAUGUGGGCUCUAAACUUUGAGUGCCAGGGACUGACUAUGGAAGUCUCCAUGUCGCUGGUCACCAUUGAGGUGCAAAACACCUUGAAAAAAUUGGUGAUUCUGAAUCCUUCAUCUCUAUGAACGAUUCAUGAAGAAAGAAUUAAACAAACAUUUAAUGAACAGAUUUUUUAUAAGAUUAUUAUCAAUAAUGACAUUGCAUAUGAGAGAAAAUUGUCAAAUAUAAUUUCAUUUUAAUUUAAUAUAGUUAAUUAUGACAUCACUGUAUAUAAAGAAUAUGAUUAUUAUCAUUUGGUUAAUUUCAGUAUUACAUAGUAUUAGAUAAAAAUUUUAUUGUAAAAUUGCACAUCAAAAUAUGUUUUAUUAUCUAUUAUUAGGAGGAAAUAUUAUUUAACUAUUAUUAUUAUCCCUAAUAGCCCAGUGAAUGUGACCUCUGCCUCCAAUUCCGGAGGGUGUGGGUUCGAACCCGUUCCGGGGCACGCACCUCCAACUUUUCAGUUGUGUGCAUUUUAAGAAACUAAAUAUCACGUGUCUCAAACAGUGAAGGAAAACAUCGUGAGGAAACCUGCAUACCAGAGAAUUCUCUUAAUUCUCUGCAUAUGUGAUGUCUGCCAAUGUAAUCCAAAUAUGCUGGCCCAUAUUCGGCUCCUGUCAGAAUGAGAGGGGUUAGGCAUUGGCCUUCCCUUACCUUAUCAGCCGAUAGACGUCCACUGCUGGACAUAGGCCUCUUACAUGGACCUCCAAGCACAACGACCUUGAGCCGCGAACAUCCAACCAACCGACCAACCACGCUUUCCAGUGCGGGGUCUCCCGAGUGCGGGUAGGCACUAACCCCUCUUACUGGGGGAGACUCGAGCUCAGCAGUGAGCCGAAUAUGUGUUUAUAAUGAUGAUGAUGAUGAUGAUGAUGAUGAUGAUUUAAGUAAUUGUAAAAGAAAAAAUUGAAUACUACAUUAGUUGUUUAUCUAUACAAUUCAAUAAUUUUAAGAACAAAACAUGUACCUACCACAUUGUAGGAAAUAAAUAAAUAAUGAUUUGAUUAAAAACAAUGUUGUUUAAUGUUAAGCAGGUAGGGCCAGGUAGUUCUAUAUUUGUGUAACAUCUAUUACUUAAAAAUAAAAAAUAUAUUUACUUGUG